rnacentral:rRNA from 1 species
AACGAACGCUGGCGGCAUGCCUAACACAUGCGAGUCGAACGAGACCUUCGGGUCUAGUGGCGCACGGGUGCGUAACGCGUGGGAACCUGCCCUUAGGUUCGGAAUAACUCCCCGAAAGGGGUGCUAAUACCGGAUAAUGUCUUCGGACCCAAGAUUUAUCGCCUUUGGAUGGGCCCGCGUUGGAUUAGCUAGUUGGUAGGGUAAAAGCCUACCAAGGCGACGAUCCAUAGCUGGUCUGAGAGGAUGAUCAGCCACACUGGGACUGAGACACGGCCCAGACUCCUCCGGGAGGCAGCAGUGGGGAAUAUUGGACAAUGGGCGAAAGCCUGAUCCAGCAAUGCCGCGUGAGUGAUGAAGGCCUUAGGGUUGUAAAGCUCUUUUACCCGGGAUGAUAAUGACAGUACCGGGAGAAUAAGCUCCGGCUAACUCCGUG